UACAGAGGUCCCAAGCGUUGUUCGGAUUUACUGGGCGUAAAGGGUGCGUAGGUGGCGAGGUAAGUUCGAUGUGAAAUCUCCGAGCUCAACUCGGAAAUGGCAUUGAAUACUAUCCCGCUUGAGGGUCGGAGGGGAGACUGGAAUUCUUGGUGUAGCGGUGAAAUGCGUAGAUAUCAAGAGGAACACCUGCGGCGAAGGCGGGUUGCUGGGCUGACACUGACGCUGAAGCGCGAAAGCCAGGGGAGCGAACGGG
rnacentral:rRNA from 1 species